UGCCUCUCAGAAGCAGACUGACCAGCUCUACCAAUGAGUGAAGGAUCAGAUUUCCCUUUCUGAGAAGUUAGCUGGCUCCUGACUGUCAGGCAACAGGCAGUGUGCAAACCAACAAGGGGACUUAUGUGAAGAUUGUAGAAGCAUCAGUCUCUGGACUUUUUAGAAUUUUGGGGCAACAAUAUUCUUCAGUCUUAAGAAACUUCCUUACAGGUUCACACUUGUUUGUGUUUUAUGUUUCUCAAAUACAAUUAAUACUGAAAAGA